CCCACUGUCGGCGGCGCCUCACCAAGUCACCAUCACCACCACCCCCGCGCCACAGCACCACCCCACCCCCGGCGCCCCACAACUACCCCACCCCUCUUUCUCCUGGCCGGCGCCGCCGUGCAUCCUCUUCCUCCUGGUUGGGGCCGUCGCCCCUCCUCUUCCUCACGACCGAGGCCGCUGUGGUCCCUCUUCCUCCCGGAAUCGCCAUCGCCCCCUGGUUCCCCUUCUUCCACCUUUCUUCGCCGCCCACGGGCGGCCCACCGCGCCUCUCCUAGUCGCCGCAUCCCUCACCAAUUCCUGGUCGGCAUCGCCCAGAUCCGGUGGAGCACGCACCCGGUCAGCCACCGGGCUUUGGUGGCCAGGGGUGACCGCUGUCGGAGGAGGAGGUUGGGGGAGGUGGUGAGCCUGUCGCGGCGCCAGGGUCGCAGGUUUUGAAGAUGGCCGGAGAUCGCCGUCCGCCUCAGCCCCUCGUGCAGGUCUCUCCUUCCCCUCGUGCAGGUCUCUCCUUCCCAUCGUGCAGGUCGCGGCCGCAACCCAUGCCUCUGGCGCUGGUCGGGGUAGCGCUCCAACUCGCUGCCGCCUGGAUCCGGCGAGGCCCGAGGCAUCCGCAGCCACCUGGACUCCCGGCGACGGGUCCGAUCCGGAAACCGCCCUGGCGUGCUCCCCGGCAACGGAUCCGGGUCGGCAACCACCCCCCUGCGUGGCCACGACCAACCUCCGCCGCAGGAUCCGUCCGUCGACAGGACCCCCAACGCAAGCCACUCCCCUGACGCCCCGAUCCAAGCGCCGCCGAGCCUCCCAGGUGACAUCUGGCCGCAUCCUCCCCCACGAGCCUCCUCCUAAUCCCGCGCUGUUCACCCAGAUGGAGCUGCCUCGAUGCGUCGAGCAUGCCUCUCCCCCUCGCUCAACCUCAACGAGGGGCUCCUCCCAAGGCCCCAGUGCCCCGGUGCAACCUAUCUAGGCCAUUACGCCACCACCGUGGCCUACACCAGCCAUGGCCACUGCGACUUGCUGCCUCUGCCGCCGCAUCCCGCACUGGAUCCGCGAGAACAAAGGUCUUCACCGCCCCGACCGCAUCGAAUCAGCAAACUGCACACCCGAAUCCGCUCUGGAUUGAUUGCGCGCGUGCUCCCACGUUCCUCUGCUCACCUUGCAGUUCGCGGUACGUUCCUGUGUAGUUUGCCCGUCGCCCUGGUCCUCUCAGCUCCUGCACUGCCUGCUGUCGAUCGUGGCGUCUCCCCUCCUGCUCCGCUGUGCAGUUUUCCGCGUGGGGCAUUGCAGUGCUUCGUCAGACGUUUUUUGUGUGGCUCGCACUGCAGUUCAUUCUUUGUUUUUCCUAAUGCAAAUCCAUGCCGAAGGGUUCGCGGAUCACUUCAGUAAAAAAACGUUCUCGGAGUUCAGCGGAUGACAUGUUGCCUUGCUGGUCAUUAUGUGAGAAGAAAAACAAAACAACGAAUGUGGUCCACGUCCUCAAAUUGUAAUUUGGUUGGCUGGUGGUGCUGACAUUUUUAUCUGACUAGUGCUAAUUUUCUGUGUAUGUAUGUGUGUGGCUGUGUAAAACAACAGAUGGAUGUAUUGUGUCCAUGAGCAUCGUCAGCGGCCAUAGACAGUGGGGCAAAAACAUAAAGUGUGCGUGCAGCUUGGUUAGCUCGGCCAUGGAGUACUUUAUUUUUGUUAUGUGUGGUUCACUUGUUUGCUAAAAAAUACAAAAGAAUAUUGGUGGGAGCUAAUAUUCUUUGGAUGCAAUGUAAUUUUAGAUGCAGUCCGGUUGCCUCA